rnacentral:rRNA from 1 species
CAGGAUGAACGCUAGCGACAGGCUUAACACAUGCAAGUCGAGGGGCAGCACAGGUAGCAAUACCGGGUGGCGACCGGCGCACGGGUGAGUAACGCGUAUGCAACUUGCCUAUCAGAGGGGGAUAACCCGGCGAAAGUCGGACUAAUACCGCAUGAAGCAGGGAUCCCGCAUGGGAAUAUUUGCUAAAGAUUCAUCGCUGAUAGAUAGGCAUGCGUUCCAUUAGGCAGUUGGCGGGGUAACGGCCCACCAAACCGACGAUGGAUAGGGGUUCUGAGAGGAAGGUCCCCCACAUUGGUACUGAGACACGGACCAAACUCCUACGGGAGGCAGCAGUGAGGAAUAUUGGUCAAUGGCCGAGAGGCUGAACCAGCCAAGUCGCGUGAGGGAUGAAGGUUCUAUGGAUCGUAAACCUCUUUUAUAAGGGAAUAAAGUGCGGGACGUGUCCCGUUUUGUAUGUACCUUAUGAAUAAGGAUCGGCUAACUCCGUGCCAGCAGCCGCGGUAAUACGGAGGAUCCGAGCGUUAUCCGGAUUUAUUGGGUUUAAAGGGUGCGUAGGCGGCCUUUUAAGUCAGCGGUGAAAGUCUGUGGCUCAACCAUAGAAUUGCCGUUGAGACUGGGGGGCUUGAGUAUGUUUGAGGCAGGCGGAAUGCGUGGUGUAGCGGUGAAAUGCAUAGAUAUCACGCAGAACCCCGAUUGCGAAGGCAGCCUGCCAAGCCAUGACUGACGCUGAUGCACGAAAGCGUGUGGAUCAAACAGGAUUAGAUACCCUGGUAGUCCACGCAGUAAACGAUGAUCACUAGCUGUUUGCGAUACACUAUAAGCGGCACAGCGAAAGCGUUAAGUGAU